GAGAAAUUGUACUGUAAGUCGCUCUGGAUAAGAGCGUCUGCUAAAUGACUUAAA
rfam:Salmo salar isolate Sally breed double haploid chromosome ssa04, whole genome shotgun sequence.